rnacentral:lncRNA from 10 species
UGGUGAGAUAAAUUAUGCUAAGGCCAAGGCCCCCAUUGGAUGCCCGGAGCCCCAGAGACCACUCUGCUCCCCAUCAGAAACUGUGCCAACCAAGGCUACUGGGGAAGAGUAUGAAGGUAAGGGAGCCUCAUCACAGCUGCACUGGUGCCCAAGCCACUGAGGGCGGGUCAGGUGGAGGGGGGCAAGAGCACACACUUCCCUACAGCAUGCUGACACACAGGCCACUUCUGCCCACCCCCUGCAGCCAUCCCUGACUCAUCUCCUCAACUCAGAGCUUG